CCUCGCUCCAUGGACACUGCAGGUGGCUGAGGGAACAGGAUCUCUAAUGUGGAAAUAAUGGAAACUGACACUUAUGCAUGCAGAGUUCUGGUGGCUGGUGCAAGGAGUCACCAUUCCUGGAUCCCCACCAUUCUAAGCAAUGGAAAGUGCUGUUCUUCACUGGAUGAAUAAAGGACCAGUCCCCCAUGACCAGGUCACGUCAGAUCGGCCUGGCGGAUGAGGGACGCUGGGGGGGCAGCAGGGUGCUGGUAGUGGGAACAUUGCCUCAGUUAUGAAAGACGCCAUUGUCCCGCCUGGCUCGCCAACAUAGAAAAUGAAUAAAUCAAAGUGGAGAGAUCAAGAGCGGAGGAGAAGAGGGAAUGGCGAGAAAUGGGGGGGGCUAUCUGACAUCUGCAUUUUUAAACUGGGCAUUUAGCUCUGUAAGAAUGUUAUCUUCAUCUUGUAAAUGUCACAGUGUGGACGAAUUUUGCAUAAUUUGAUGUGUUUUUACCUUUAAUUACAUUUACAUCUCUGCUCCCCUCUACAAUUGGUAACUCCACACUUCACAGAUUUGUGUUUAUUGCAUUGCUUUGGUCCUCCCCUUGUUUUUAUCUUGUUACGUUAGCUUAAAUGCCCAAUUGUCAAAUGUUUGAAUAGCUUACACUGUGAUGUUAUUUAUGUUGCUUUGAUUGGAUGUUUUAAUACUUAAAAACUUUUACUGGUGUUUUAUUGGUUUCAAGUCUUCAGUCAUAAAUGCCAUGCCGUCUCACUUUGUAAAUGUGAAAAGUUGCUAAUGUAAUCAUCAGCACACAGUCAAAAUUGAAAAAUGUGACUUGCUGAUAAAAGAUCAGAGGAUUUUUAUUUGUUUUGUUUUUAAACCACAGCUACACCCAUAUGUCAUGUGGUGCUAAUUUUACUAACUUUGAGAGAUGUGUCGUUUGUCUUGCUUUUGUGCAAAUCAUAUUUGUGUGCAUUAGUUUCU